AUGCAAGUCGAACGAGAAAGGGUAGCAAUACCUGAGUAAAGUGGCGACCGGGUGAGUAACACGUGACUAAUCUACCCUUGAGUGGGGAAUAACCUUCCGAAAGGAGGGCUAAUACCGCAUAAAGUCCAGAGGCUGAAAUGCCAUUGGACCAAAGGAGUAAUUCGCUUAAGGAGGAGGUCGCGGUUGAUUAGCUAGUUGGUGGGGUAAUGGCCCACCAAGGCGAUGAUCAAUAGCCGGCCUGAGAGGGCGCACGGCCACACUGGAACUGAAACACGGUCCAGACUCCUACGGGAGGCAGCAGUGGGGAAUUUUGCGCAAUGGGGGAAACCCUGACGCAGCAACGCCGCGUGAAGGAUGAAGGUCUUUGGAUUGUAAACUUCUUUCGUCCGGGAAGAUAAUGACGGUACCGGAAUAAGAAGCCCCGGCUAACUUCGUGCCAGCAGCCGCGGUAAUACGAAGGGGGCGAGCGUUGUUCGGAAUUAUUGGGCGUAAAGGGAGCGUAGGCGGUUCGAUAAGUCACUUGUGAAAUCUCUGGGCUCAACUCAGAGUCUGCAAGCGAAACUGUCGGGCUUGAGUAUGGGAGAGGUGAGUGGAAUUCCUGGUGUAGCGGUGAAAUGCGUAGAUAUCAG
rnacentral:rRNA from 1 species